UCCCUGGAGGACUAGUGGUUAGGCCACAGCGCUCUCACUGCUGUGGCCUGGGUUUGAUUCCCGGCCAGGGAA